rnacentral:tRNA from 1 species
GGCCCCGUCGCCUAGCCAGGACAGGGCGCCGGCCUUCUAAGCCGGUAGUCCCGGGUUCAAAUCCCGGCGGGGCCGCCA